rnacentral:rRNA from 1 species
CCUGAUGCAGCCAUGCCGCGUGUUGAAGAAGGCCUUCGGGUUGUAAAGCACUUUCAGCGGGGAGGAAGGCUACGGUUAAUAACCGUGUUGAUUGACGUUACCCGCAGAAGAAGCACCGGCUAACUCCGUGCCAGCAGCCGCGGUAAUACGGAGGGGCAGCGUUAAUCGGAUUACUGGGCGUAAACGCAGAGGCGGUCUGUAWGUCGGAUGUGAAAUCCCCGGGCUCAACCUGGGAACUGYWUUCGAAACUGGCAGGCUUGAGUCUUGUAGAGGGGGGUAGAAUUCCAGGUGUAGCGGUGAAAUGCGUAGAGAUCUGGAGGAAUACCGGUGGCGAAGGCGGCCCCCUGGACAAAGACUGACGCUCAGGUGCGAAAGCGUGGGGAGCAAACAGGAUUAGAUACCCUGGUAGUCCACGCCGUAAACGAUGUCGACUUGGAGGUUGUGCCCUUGAGGCGUGGCUUCCGGAGCUAACGCGUUAAGUCGACCGCCUGGGGAGUACGGCCGCAAGGUUAAAACUCAAAUGAAUUGACGGGGGCCCGCACAAGCGGUGGAGCAUGUGGUUUAAUUCGAUGCAACGCGAAGAACCUUACCUGGUCUUGACAUCCACGGAAUUCGGCAGAGAUGCCUUAGUGCCUUCGGGAACCGUGAGACAGGUGCUGCAUGGCUGUCGUCAGCUCGUGUUGUGAAAUGUUGGGUUAAGUCCCGCAACGAGCGCAACCCUUAUCCUUUGUUGCCAGCGGUCCGGCCGGGAACUCAAAGGAGACUGCCAGUGAUAAACUGGAGGAAGGUGGGGAUGACGUCAAGUCAUCAUGGCCCUUACGACCAGGGCUACACACGUGCUACAAUGGCAUAUACAAAGAGAAGCGACCUCGCGAGAGCAAGCGGACCUCAUAAAGUAUGUCGUAGUCCGGAUUGGAGUCUGCAACUCGACUCCAUGAAGUCGGAAUCGCUAGUAAUCGUGGAUCAGAAUGCCACGGUGAAUACGUUCCCGGGCCUUGUACACACCGCCCGUCACACCAUGGGAGUGGGUUGCAAAAGAAGUAGGUAGCUUAACCUUCGGGAGGGCGGCUUUACCACUUUGUGAUUCAUGACUGGGGUGAAGUCGUAA